GUCCCUGCAGCGCAAUGAAUAAUGUGUGUGUGCGUUGGACUUCUGAUCCAAAGGUCGCGGGUUUGAAUCCCACCUGGGAUG